GGCUUGCCGUCACCUCUGGAGAGCUUGGCUACACAUCGGAAGUCUAUUUGCAUGUUUCCCCCUCAUCUGUAGGAAGUCCAGCAGUAGGAUUGAGGUUACUCUGUCACAUUCCCAAGGUGGAAGUGUAGGUAGUGUUGCUCACACUCUGCCUACUGCUCUGCACUUUGUUUUUGCCCUUCACACUGCACCUCACGGAUACCUCAGCAGGUGCCACAAGCCCGCCUCACCAUUUCUGGGGCUGAGUACUAUUCCCACACUUUAGUCCACUUAGUUUUCCUGUUGAUGUUCUUCAGUAUUUUUCCAAGUUUUCAAUACUAUAAACAAUGAUGCAGUAAGACUUUGUACAUGUCCACAUGUAUAAUCUGGGAGUUUCUCUCUGGUAGAAACAGAGGUGGGUUAAAUGGUAUGUCUGUGUUUAAUUUGAAAGCGUGGCCAAACUUCUCCAGACAACGUCAGUUCACACUCUCACUGAUGAUGUAUGAGUGAAUUUGCUUUCCUCCAACUGCAAACAGAUGUCCUGCUGUCAGUCUUGUUUGCUCUAUGGUGAUGAUGACCAUGCAGAGAAAGAAAGCAGGCACUCAUUUCAGGCCUGGAAGCUGGUUCCAGCCUCUUUGGGCCCCAAAGGACCAGAUGGGUCAGCGAUGUGCAGUAGCUGGCCCGGAAGAAUGGACACCCAUGUGGGGGGCACAGAGCGCACAGCUGCAGGUCUGGAGAGGCGGCACAGGGCAUGCAGAGGGGGAAGGGCAGGUUUCUUCUGGGGGGGGAGGGUCAGUGACUGUGGCCCCUCAUGGGCCAUAUUGGCAGCUGGAGGUCCUCUUCCAGGGGGCAUUUCCCAGUUUGAAAGCCCCCCUUGCCCCUCCCCCACACUCCUCCCUUCCUUCCUUCCUGUAUUAUUUAGAGCUCUGCUCCUCCCAGGGCGCUGCUUGUCUGGGGCUGGGUGGUGAGUGCCAAGCCUUUGCGGGCCAUCUACUAUCCUAAUUGUAGACUCCGAGUCUAGCGAGUCAGCAGUCCCGCGUGACAGCUAAGAGCAGCAGAGCCUUCUAGGUAGGCCCGCGGCAAAUCAGGUCCCCUCCCUAUGCUUCUGCUCUCUCCCUAACCUGGGAGGAUCC
rnacentral:lncRNA from 1 species